UUGGAAGCGAAGAAAGAGCGUAUGGGGGAUGCCUUGGCUCCCGGAGGCGACGAAGGACGUGGUAAAGCGCGAAAAGCAACGGGGAGGUGCAAACGACCUUUGAUCCGUUGAUGUCCGAAUGGGGCAACCCGACACGUUGAAGACGUGUAGACCAAGAGUCGCAAACCCGCUGAACUGAAACAUCUAAGUAGGCGGAGGAAAAGAAAACAAGUAGUGAUUCCGUAAGUAGUGGCGAGCGAACGCGGAAGAGGCCAAACCUAUGGGCGUGCCCAUAGGGGGUUGUGGGACUGCGCUGUGGAAGAUGUAUGUUUAGUUGAAAUCCAUGGAAAGGGGUACCGCAGAGGGUGAAAGUCCCGUAAGCGAAAAGCAUACAUUACCUAGCAGGAUCCUGAGUAGGGCGAGGCCGGUGAAACCUUGUCUGAAUCUACCAGCACCACGGGAGACCGAUAGCGAACCAGUACCGUAAGGGAAAGGUGAAAAGAACCCUAAGAAAGGGAGUGAAAAGACUCUGAAACCAUACGCUUACAAGCGGUCGGAGUCCCCCCGAGAACUCGGGGGGGUGACGGCGUGCCUUUUGCAUAAUGAGCCUACGAGUUAUACCUCACUGGCAGCCUAAGUACUUCAGGUACGGAAGCGAAGCGAAAGCGAGUCUUAACAGGGCGAAACGAGUCAGUGGGGAUAGACGCGAAACCGAGUGAUCUAUCCAUGGGCAGGUUGAAGGUCCGAUAAUCUCGGACUGGAGGACCGAACUGGUAAGGGUUGAAAACCUUUCGGAUGACCUGUGGAUAGGGGUGAAAGGCCAAUCAAACUCGGAGAUGGCUCGUACUCCCCGAAAUGCAUUUAGGUGCAGCGUUGGACGAAUGUGUGUUGGAGGUAAAGCUACUGAAAAGGCUAGGGGGCUUCACCGCCUACCAACCCUUAACAAACUCUGAAUGCCAACACAUAGUACCAGCAGUGAGCCCCGGGGUGCGAAGGUCACGGGGCGAGAGGGGAACAACCCAGACCAACAGUUAAGGUCCCUAAAUCAUGGUUAAGUUGCGUUAAACGAGGUGGGAAUGCACAGACAGCUAGGAUGUUUGCUUGGAAGCAGCAAUUCAUUUAAAGAGUGCGUAACAGCUCACUAGUCGAGCGUUCCUGCGCGGAAAAUAAACGGGCAUCAAACCAUGUACCGAAACUUUGGAUUCGAAAGAGUGGUAGGGGAGCAUUCUGUAGCGUUGAAGCCGGAUCGUGAGGUUUGGUGGAGUUAACAGAAAAGCAAAUGUAGGCAUAAGUAACGAUAAAUGACGUGGAAAACGUCAUCGCCGAAAGACUAAGGGUUCCUAGAUCUACGUUACUCGGAUCAGGGUGAGCCGGGACCUAAGGAUAAGCCGAGAGGUGAAGCCGAUGGCAAGCGGGUUAAUAUUCCUGCGCCUGCUAUACAAGAAAGUGACGCAUCGACGUGGUGGACAGGUUCUGACGGAAUAGAGCCUCUGAGCCAAUCUCUUCGGGGAGCGGCGAGUUCAUAAAAUUGGUGCCAGGAAAAGCGAGUAUAGCAGCCCGUACCGCAAACCGACACAGGUAGUCGAGGAGAGGAUCCUCAGGCGCUCGAGUGAUUCGUGGCUAAGGAACUAGGCAAAAUGGUCUCGUAACUUCGGGAGAAGAGACGCUCCGAGCAAUCAGAGCCGCAGUGAAGAGGCCCAGGCGACUGUUUAGCAAAAACACAGGGCUAUGCGAAAUCGAAAGAUGAGGUAUAUGGCCUGACACCUGCCCGGUGCCGGAAGGUUAAGGAAGGGGCUCACCCCGAGCAAUCGGGGGAAGGUCUUAACUGAAGCCCCGGUAAACGGCGGCCGUAACUAUAACGGUCCUAAGGUAGCGGAAAUUCCUUGUCGGGUAAGUUCCGACCUGCACGAAUGGUGUAACGAUCUGGGCACUGUCUCAGCCACGAAGCCGGUGAAAUUGAAGUAUCGGUGAAGAUGCCGAUUACCCGCAACGGGACGGAAAGACCCCGUGAACCUUUACUCGGCUUUUGCAUUGGGCUUGACUUGUUGAUGCGUAGGAUAGGUGGGAGGCAAUGAUCCGGCGGUUCUGGCCGUCGGGGAGUCGACGUUGAAAUACCACCCUUUGGCUAGUUGAGUCCUAACCCCGAGCACUCGGGGGACAUUGCAUGGUGGGUAGUUUGACUGGGGUGGUCACCUCCUAAAGAGUAACGGAGGUUUGCAAAGGUACCCUCAGCAUGGACGGUAAUCAUGCGAAGAGCGUAUUAGUAUAAGGGUGCUUGACUGAGAGACCGACGGGUCGAUCAGGGUCGAAAGACGGCUAAAGUGAUCCGGUGGUUCCGCAUGGAAGGGCCAUCGCUCAAAGGAUAAAAGGUACUCCGGGGAUAACAGGCUGAUCUCCCCAAGGCCAUAUCGACGGGGAGGUUUGGCACCUCGAUGUCGGCUCGUCGCAUCCUGGGGCUGGAGAAGGUCCCAAGGGUUGGGCUGUUCGCCCAUUAAAGCGGCACGUGGCUGGGUUCAGAACGUCGCAAGACAGUUCGGUCCCUAUCUGUUGUGGGCGCAGGAAGAUUGAAGAGACCUGACACUAGUACGAGAGGACCGUGUUGGACGAACCGCUUGUGUAUCGGUUGUGCCGCCAGGUGCAGCGCCGAGUAGCAAUGUUCGGCCGGGAUAAGCGCUGAAAGCAUCUAAGCGCGAAGCCUACUCUGAGAUGAAUCUUCCGAUUAAGGGUCGUAGGAGACGACUACGUUGAUAGGCGACAGGUGGAAGUGUGGUGACAUGUUGAGCCGAGUCGUACUAAUAACCCGUAAGCUUCCAUUU
rnacentral:rRNA from 1 species